GAUGAACGCUGGCGGCGUGCUUAACACAUGCAAGUCGAACGAAGCUGCUUAACUGAUCUUUUUCGGAAUUGACGUUUUGUAGACUGAGUGGCGGACGGGUGAGUAACGCGUGGGUAACCUGCCCUGUACAGGGGGAUAACAGUCAGAAAUGACUGCUAAUACCGCAUAAGACCACAGCACCGCAUGGUGCAGGGGUAAAAACUCCGGUGGUACAGGAUGGACCCGCGUCUGAUUAGCUGGUUGGUGAGGUAACGGCCUACCAAGCCGACGAUCCAUAGCCGGCCUGAGAGGGUGGACGGCCACAUUGGGACUGAGACACGGCCCAGACUCCUACGGGAGGCAGCAGUAGGGAAUAUUGCACAAUGGGGGAAACCCUGAUGCAGCGACGCCGCGUGAAGGAAGAAGUAUCUCGGUAUGUAAACUUCUAUCAGCAGGGAAGACAAUGACGG
rnacentral:rRNA from 1 species